rnacentral:rRNA from 1 species
CGUAGGGUGCGAGCGUUAAUCGGAAUUACUGGGCGUAAAGCGUGCGCAGGCGGUUUUGUAAGACAGAUGUGAAAUCCCCGGGCUCAACCUGGGACCUGCAUUUGUGACUGCAAGGCUAGAGUACGGUAGAGGGGGAUGGAAUUCCGCGUGUAGCAGUGAAAUGCGUAGAUAUGCGGAGGAGCACCGAUGGCGAAGGCAAUCCCCUGGACCUGUACUGACGCUCAUGCACGAAGGCGUGGGGAGCAAACAGGAUUAGAUACCCUGGUAGUCCACGCCCUAAACGAUGUCAACUGGUUGUUGGGUCUUUACUGACUCAGUAACGAAGCUAACGCGUGAAGUUGACCGCCUGGGGAGUACGGCCGCAAGGUUG